CUGCUGCCUUCCGUAGGAGUUUGGUCCGUGUCUCAGUCCCAAUGUGGCCGUCCACCCUCUCAGGCCGGCUACUGAUCGUCGCCUUGGUAGGCCGUUACCCUGCCAACCAGCUAAUCAGACGCGGGCCCAUCUCGCACCACCUGGGUUUUCAGGGCAGGGGCAUGCGCCCCCGCCCGCUAUGCGGUGUUAGCACCUAUUUCUAAGUGUUAUCCCCCAGUGCGAGGCAGGUUGCCCACGCGUUACUCACCCGUCCGCCACG
rnacentral:rRNA from 1 species